rnacentral:rRNA from 1 species
UUUUGUAUCAUGGUUCUCCUACCUUAAAUUUACUAUAAAAUGAACCCGAAAAAAAUUGAGCUAUUAUUUCAACUCUUUGUUAAUACAUUAACGUAGAAAAGUUAUGUAAAGAUUGAAUAAUAGGGGUGAUACACCUUUCGAAAUUUUUGAUUGCUGGUUAAUCAGGAAAUGUAUCAAAGUACAGGUAAAUAAAUUUAUCAGAGAUUCUAAGACUUCAACUUUAAAAUCAAGAUUAUAUAAUAUUUAACUGACCUGAAGAAGGAUAAGCUUCUUUAGAAAAUUAAAAGACUCAGCAUUCAAACUAAAAACUGAAUUGUAGGCUUAAGAUUAGCCAUUUAACUAAUAAAGUUUGUUAUAAAAUAUUUUAUAUUUUAUUUAAAAUACUUAACAUGGUCUUUAAAAAAUCUCAAUUAUGUAAUAGAUUUCAAUAAUACUGAUUUUAUUAAUCAAGUUAAUUAAUUAAUUUAUUUCUGGUGAAACGAGUAUUUAAGACUUUUAAUAUAUAGAUUUCGUUAAUAAGUUGAUUUAAAGAUUUAAUAACGUAUAACUAAUUGAUUUAAAACUACAGUCUAUGAUUUAAUUUUUAAAAAGGAACUCGGCAAAAAUUAGUUCCGCCUGUUUAUCAAAAACAUCGCUCCUUGGUUAUUUGUUCAAUAACAAUAGAAUUAAAAAUAUUUAUAGGGAGUCGGACCUGCCCGGUGACAUAUGUUAAACGGCCGCGGUACUCUGACCGUGCAAAGGUAGCAUAAUCAUUUGCCUUUUAAUUAAAGGCUAGUAUGAAUGGUUUGACGAGAGCUAAGCUGUCUCUUUUAAAAUAUAAAAAAACUAAUUUCUAGGUGAAGAAGCCUAGAUUUAAUUGAGGGACAAGAAGACCCCUUUGAGCUUUAGUAAUUUAACAAAAACGACUCAUGUAUCGUUACGAUAUAUUAAUAUUGUAUUAAUAUAAAUACUAUUUAUUAAAAAUCUUUAGUUGGGGCGACUGAGGAACACAUCAAGCUUCCUCUAAAAUUUAUUAACAGAAAAUCAAUUUAUAAAAUGAUCCAGCACUUUGUUGAUCAAAGAAAAAAGUUACCGUGGGGAUAACAGCGUAAUCCUUCUAAAGAGUUCAUAUCGAAAGAAGGGUUUGCGACCUCGAUGUUGGACUAAGAUAUCCUGGGGGUGCAGAAGCUCCUAAUGGUUAGUCUGUUCGACUAUUAAAAUCUUACAUGAUCUGAGUUCAGACCGGCGUAAGCCAGGUUGGUUUCUAUCUUCAAUUAAUUAAAUGAGUCUUUAGCUAGUACGAAAGGACCGCUGUCAAGAUAAAUAGUUUAUUUUCAAAGAACAAAUAUAAUUAAAAGAAUUAUUAAGAAAUAAAAGUCAAACAUAAAAUUGAU